rnacentral:misc_RNA from 1 species
UCGCGUCACGAAUCGGCGCACUCUACACUCAACAAAGCGUUUGAAUGACCGCUACAGCGGUAGAGGUCGGGAACGAACUUGAGUCUUUCGAAAUGUUUACACCGCGAAGAGAUUAUGGGAACAGAAUAUGGGAAUAAAAUAAAACGAAUGAUCUUUCGUCGGUAACGAUUGCAUGACCAGAUAGUGAACGAAAAUUAUUUACCCAGUGAAAAGAAGCACGAUUACAAAAUUUCGUACAUUAAAAUAUAACUCUUUGUAAAUUUUUAUAUUCGUCGCUUUGGAAAUAAAAUUACUAACAUAAACUGUUGAGCUGGAAUAAGCACAUAGAUGGCGCCAAGUCCUGAUCGGAAAGAAUGUUGAAGUUAUACGAGCUAGGUGGGACAAAUGGUCCCAAGGCUCUAAUUGUUUUCUGUAUUUAUUUUGAAGUUCGCGCACACCAAAAUUAUGUACUCUCGGCUAGAAGGGACAGAAGACUUUCUCCUUUUUUCUACCUCUAUAAAUAAUUGUCAACUAAUUAAGGUGGUAACGUUAUAUCAUUGAGUGACAGGACAUUCAUGUGAAUUUGUGUAUUGACGAAAGCUCAUUAUGCAACUCGUACUACUAAUGAAUUUGUAGUACUGGAUAAUUAACUCGUCAUAGUGGGCAACAUAGAAGGUGACAUUGGAAAAGAGCUCUACGUAACCCACAAUUUAACAAAAAUCAGUUCGAAAAUGGCCAUGAUUUUGCGACGUUUCAAUGCAUUGGAAGAAGGUGUCAUCGAGCUGGUUCGCAUGGAGCACAACACGGAGAGCAUAAAAAUCGAGACGCCGAGUGACAUAAACACCGAGGUGAAGAAGAUUCUCGUGGCAGCAAGAAAGAAAGAGCGAAUUAAUACGGGCGAGCGUCCAAAAACGCCGAAAAAAAUAAAAAUAUCAACGUCAACGUACCACGCUGUGAACGAGUCUCAAGUGCAAAAUCCUUUGACGAAGUUUUCUGCCAUCCAACCAUCGAGCCGUGGUAAAAUCGAUUUUUUGGAAAUCUCUAAUUCCACGAUGUCCAAGGGUGAGAAUCGAAGCUCACUGGAAAAGCCGCUCGUGAAAUUAUUGACUGAAAAAAAAAUGGAAAACCUUUCGCAGCCCAUUGGCUUUCGGCCGUCUUGGAAAUGCGAAUCGUAAAAGUGAUGAGAUUUUUUCAUAUUUCCAUGUCCUCAUACACCCACAUUUUUCCUUAACUCAUUCAGUUAAAGGGAAUCGAAGUAUGUAAAGAACUAAUCGAAAUACUCGCUGCGCUAUGCCAUUGUUCAAGUUCGUUUUAUUAUUAACAUCUUCAUAAUACAUCAUAUAAUUCAUAAAAUACGUACAAAUUAAUGCAUCGCCAACAUCGAUAAUCAAAGUUCAGGUUCCUUCUCCACUGGGAUCGUCUUCCCUCGUUCGAGAGCUCACAAUUCAACAAUAAUGCGUCACAAUAAUUAAUAACUUCAAUUUUGUACGUAGAUUUAUUAA